rnacentral:rRNA from 1 species
AAUAGAUACCCGGGUAGUCCACGCCGUAAACGAUGAGUGCUAAGUGUUAGAGGGUUUCCGCCCUUUAGUGCUGCAGCUAACGCAUUAAGCACUCCGCCUGGGAAGUACGGCCACAAGGCUGAAACUCAAAGGAAUUGACGGGGGCCCGCGCAAGCGGUGGAGCAUGUGGUUUAAUUCGAAGCAACGCGAAGAACCUUACCAGGUCUUGACAUCCUUACGACCUCCCUAGAGAUAGGGAUUUCCCCUUCGGGGGACGAAAGUGACAGGUGGUGCAUGGUUGUCGUCAGCUCGUGUCGUGAGAUGUUGGGUUAAGUCCCGCAACGAGCGCAACCCUUGAUCUUAGUUGCCAGCAUUCAGUUGGGCACUCUAAGGUAACUGCCGGUGACAAACCGGAGGAAGGUGGGGAUGACGUCAAAUCACCAUGCCCCUUAUGACCUGGGCUACACACGUGCUACAACGGAUGGUACAAAGGGCAGCGAAACCGCGAGGUCGAGCCAAUCCCAUAAAACCAUUCUCAGUUCGGUAUUGCAGGCUGCAACCUCG